rnacentral:rRNA from 1 species
AGUAACGCGUGGGUAACCUGCCCUUAAGUCUGGGAUACCAUUUGGAAACAGAUGCUAAUACCGGAUAAAAGCUACUUUCGCAUGAAAGAAGUUUAAAAGGCGGCGUAAGCUGUCGCUAAAGGAUGGACCUGAGAUGCAUUAGCUAGUUGGUAAGGUAACGGCUUACCAAGGCGAUGAUGCAUAGCCGAGUUGAGAGACUGAUCGGCCACAUUGGGACUGAGACACGGCCCAAACUCCUACGGGAGGCAGCAGCA